CUUGGACAUGUCGUCAGGACCUGCUGAGGCUGUGUCACAGGUGCACGUCCUCAACCUUGACAAAAUAAACUUUCUAAAUUAACUGAGACCUAUCUCAGAUAUUCGGGUUUCACAUUUUGGUAACGAUGGAGGGAUUCCGGGUGGAGGUACCCCUGACCUUUGACAAAUCUGCUAUCAGUGCUUGGUACCAGCAUGAGCUAACUUUAUGGCUCAAACCAAUAGGACAAUUUGCUGAGGUCUGGGAGCACUUACUCCAGAAAAUCCCUGAUCUCCCAAAAUUUGAUUGAAAUCAAAAGUUUAUUUUGCUGUAUAACCCCUUUUUUUUGGAUUUUUACUUGCUUCCAACAAGAAAGGCAAGCUUUUCAGCUUCCAUAAUGAUGGAAGGCAGGUAACUCCUUUAUGGAGUUUGAGCUUGCUCCCGGCAGGGAGGACGAGUUUGAGGUUUUUUUCCUGCUUCUAGGAUGGUAGAAAGCAGCCUUUAGCCUGAGACCCAUCCCUAGCUGCUACAUCAGAAUCACUCCUCACAAUGGGAAAAUAUUAAAAAUCCCUUGGAAUGUGAAUCCCUUGGAGGUGGGGAUGACAGCCUCAAAUGGCAUGGCUGAUUCACAAAUUAUGGUCACUAAUUGGCUGAGAUAGUAAAGGACAUUUGAAGACUGAGAAGAACUUGGUGAGACUGAGUGCCAUAUGUAGGAAGAACUGAAAGAAGACCUUGGACUAUGGGGCAACAGAGAAAGGAGAGGGAGGAACUUGGAGAGCAUUGAUUUAUUGACAUAUGGCUGAGAGAUGUUGCCAUUAAUGAAGCUUCAGCCUGCUGAAUGAUGCCAGCCUAAACUUUUCAGCAAGGUGAAGCUUCCAGCUUUUGAAUCUGGGAUCGAGACCAACAGCUUCCACAUGAAGAAUGCCACUAACACAGGAAGAAAAAAAAAGCACUCUGUGCAGAAGUCAACCUUGAAGACUCAAGUUAAGUGCAAAUAUUGCCGACAAG
rnacentral:lncRNA from 1 species